AUUGAACGCUGGCGGAAUGCUUUACACAUGCAAGUCGAACGGCAGCAUAGAGAGCUUGCUCUCUGAUGGCGAGUGGCGAACGGGUGAGUAAUAUAUCGGAACGUGCCUAGUAAUGGGGAAUAACUAGCUGAAAGGUUAGCUAAUGCCGCAUACGACCUACGGGUGAAAGCAGGGGAUCUUCGGACCUUGCGUUAUUAGAGCGGCCGAUAUCUGAUUAGCUUGUUGGUGGGGUAAUGGCCUACCAAGGCGACGAUCAGUAGCUGGUCUGAGAGGACGAUCAGCCACACUGGAACUGAGACACGGUCCAGACUCCUACGGGAGGCAGCAGUGGGGAAUUUUGGACAAUGGGGGAAACCCUGAUCCAGCCAUUCCGCGUGAGUGAAGAAGGCCUUCGGGUUGUAAAGCUCUUUCGCAAGAGAAGAAAACUUACAAUCUAAUAUAUUGUAAGCAUGACGGUAUCUUGAUAAGAAGCACCGGCUAACUACGUG
rnacentral:rRNA from 1 species